rnacentral:rRNA from 1 species
GACGAACGCUGGCGGCGUGCUUAACACAUGCAAGUCGAACGCUGAAGCUUGGUGCUUGCACUGGGUGGAUGAGUGGCGAACGGGUGAGUAAUAAGUGAGUAACCUGCCCUUGACUCUGGGAUAAGCCUGGGAAACUGGGUCUAAUACUGGAUACGACAUGUCACCGCAUGGUGGUGUGUGGAAAGGGUUUUACUGGUUUUGGAUGGGCUCACGGCCUAUCAGCUUGUUGGUGGGGUAAUGGCUCACCAAGGCGACGACGGGUAGCCGGCCUGAGAGGGGGACGGCCACCCUUGGCCAUGCCAUGCCGCCCUACCCCCUACGGGGGCGGCGAGGGGGAAAUAUGGCAAAAUGGGCGGAAGCCGGAUGCGGCGUCGCCGCGUGAGGAGUCCCGGCCCUCGGUUAAUAGCCCUCUUACACCGGGGAGGAAGCAAAAGUAACGUCAGGUGCAAAAGAACCCCCCUCAAUCUCCGCG